rnacentral:lncRNA from 1 species
UGAUUGCGCGUGGCCAUGUUUUAUGGCACGUAAGAUCGAUUUACGGAUUUUCGAUAUUUUGUCCGUAAAAAAAAUUCAUAUCUGGCCGUGCAUCUUUGCUAUUGGAACAGUUGCAAGCUGAGCAGUAUGUUCUUGUUCCCCCAGGUUUAAGUAUUUUAGAAUUUGACAUAGCAAUUAUAAAUCGCUUAAUUUUUCAAAAAUAUACGCAUUAAGUGCAGCAAUUUGACUUCUUUCAUGAGCGUGGACUCUCAUUCAUACAAACGCACGUGGAUUAGGAGGAAAAGGUCAAGGGUAAAAUGUAAGAAGGGCAUGUUAGAUGUGUUUUAAACAGGG